UGGUGUGUCCCUGCUGCUUACCCUUUCGUGCAUUUUUGUGAUGUGAUUUGGAUCCUCUGAUGGGCGCAUAACUACUGCUUACCCUUUCGGUGCUCCUGUGCGAGCAAUGCUUAUCCCAAGUGAAUCGCUGCAUUUAUGUACUACAGAAGAUGAUACAAGCAAAUCAUUAGUGAACACUAGCAAAGGAAGAAAUAGAUUCUGGAGGAACAUUAGCCUUGGUUUCAAGAUACCCAAGGAAGCCAUUAAAGGAGAUAUACUUGGAGCAUCAGAAUUAUAAGUGCAUCUACAAGAGCAAUUACAACAAUUCUCCAUCAGGUUGGUGUUUAGAAAUCUCAUAUGCAAAUGUGGGAAGACGAUGCCUCAUCAAUGACGAGUAGGUUGAAUCUCUCCUAGCGGCACCAUUGCUCACCACAACUGGUUUGCUUGAGCAACUUAAUGUCACUCUCAAGAGGGACCACCCUUCGACUGACACCUUGAAGCACCACAUAAGCUUUAGAAAGUUGGAA